rnacentral:rRNA from 1 species
UACGAAGGGGGGCUAGCGUUGUUCGGAAUUACUGGGCGUAAAGCGCACGUAGGCGGAUACUUAAGUCAGGGGUGAAAUCCCGAGGCUCAACCUCGGAACUGCCUUUGAUACUGGGUAUCUCGAGUCCGGAAGAGGUGAGUGGAAUUCCGAGUGUAGAGGUGAAAUUCGUAGAUAUUGGGAAGAACACCAGUGGCGAAGGCGGCUAACUGGUCCAGAUCUGACGCUGAGGUGCGAAAGCGUGGGGAGCAAACAGG